rnacentral:sRNA from 1 species
ACAUCCCUCCCCUUCUUUUAGGAUUAUUGUGAGAAUUAGAAGAGUUAAUAUAUGUUAGGGGCUUAAUACCUGGCAUGUAGUAAGAGCUAAUUAAGUGCUCACUGUUAUAAUUUCUCAUAACUACAGAGUAGUUUGAUAUUUCAGGGAGAAUAUAUGUUUGUUUCCACUGCUUUCACAACAACCCUAUGUUGUAAUUAGCACUGUUCCACUGACGCCUAAAGACACGGAGGCUCUGGAAGAUUUCUGGCCCUAGGCCACAAAGGCCCACUUGGGAUUCAAGCUGAGGUCCUGUGAUUCCAUUUGGGAGCAGGAGGAGGGAUUUGCAGAUAAGGAGGGUUCCUGCCCCCAGGUGAACAUUAACUUUCCCCAGCUCGGCCUCUGUCAGGACCAGUGCCAGGUGGACAGCCAGUGUCCUGGCCAGAUGAAAUGCUGCCGCAAUGGCUGUGGGAAUGUGUCCUGUGUCACUCCCAAUUUCUGAGCUCCAGCCACCACCAGGCUGAGCAGUGAGGAGAGAAAGUUUCUGCCUGGCCCUGCAUCUGGUUCCAGCCCAACUGCCCUCCCCUUUUUCGGGCCUCUGUAUUCCCUCUUGGGCUGACCACAGCUUCUCCCUUUCCCAACCAAUAAAGUAACCACUUUCAGCA